CUUAAGCAUAUCAAUAAGCGGAGGAAAAGAAACCAACCGGGAUUGCCUCAGUAACGGCGAGUGAAGCGGCAAGAGCUCAAAUUUGAAAGCUGGCUCCUUCGGAGUCCGCAUUGUAAUUUGCAGAGGAUGCUUUGGGUGCGGCCCCCGUCUAAGUGCCCUGGAACGGGCCGUCAGAGAGGGUGAGAAUCCCGUCUUGGGCGGGGUGUCCGUGCCCGUGUAAAGCUCCUUCGACGAGUCGAGUUGUUUGGGAAUGCAGCUCUAAAUGGGUGGUAAAUUUCAUCUAAAGCUAAAUACUGGCCGGAGACCGAUAGCGCACAAGUAGAGUGAUCGAAAGAUGAAAAGCACUUUGAAAAGAGAGUUAAACAGCACGUGAAAUUGUUGAAAGGGAAGCGCUUGCAACCAGACUCGCCCGCGGGGUUCAGCCGGCAUUCGUGCCGGUGUACUUCCCCGUGGGCGGGCCAGCGUCGGUUUGGGCGGCCGGUCAAAGGCCCCUGGAAUGUAGUGCCCUCCGGGGCACCUUAUAGCCAGGGGUGCAAUGCGGCCAGCCUAGACCGAGGAACGCGCUUCGGCUCGGACGCUGGCAUAAUGGUUGUAAACGACCCGUCUUGAAACACGGACCAAGGAGUCUAACAUCUACGCGAGUGUUCGGGUGUCAAACCCGUGCGCGCAGUGAAAGCGAACGGAGGUGGGAGCCCCCUCGUGGGGCGCACCAUCGACCGAUCCUGAUGUCUUCGGAUGGAUUUGAGUAAGAGCGUAAAUGUGGGGACCCGAAAGAUGGUGAACUAUGCCUGAAUAGGGCGAAGCCAGAGGAAACUCUGGUGGAGGCUCGCAGCGGUUCUGACGUGCAAAUCGAUCGUCAAAUUUGGGUAUAGGGGCGAAAGACUAAUCGAACCAUCUAGUAGCUGGUUCCUGCCGAAGUU
rnacentral:rRNA from 1 species